rnacentral:rRNA from 1 species
AGUGAACGCUGGCGGUAGGCCUAACACAUGCAAGUCGAACGGCAGCACAGUAAGAGCUUGCUCUUACGGGUGGCGAGUGGCGGACGGGUGAGGAAUACAUCGGAAUCUACUUUUUCGUGGGGGAUAACGUAGGGAAACUUACGCUAAUACCGCAUACGACCUACGGGUGAAAGCAGGGGAUCUUCGGACCUUGCGCGAUUGAAUGAGCCGAUGUCGGAUUAGCUAGUUGGCGGGGUAAAGGCCCACCAAGGCGACGAUCCGUAGCUGGUCUGAGAGGAUGAUCAGCCACACUGGAACUGAGACACGGUCCAGACUCCUACGGGAGGCAGCAGUGGGGAAUAUUGGACAAUGGGCGCAAGCCUGAUCCAGCCAUACCGCGUGGGUGAAGAAGGCCCUCGGGUUGUAAAGCCCUUUUGUUGGGAAAGAAAGGCAGCAAGUUAAUACCCCGCUGUUCUGACGGUACCCAAAGAAUAAGCACCGGCUAACUUCGUG